GCAAUAGUGGCUUAUACGUGGGCGGUCGGGCUAAUCCCCCGGAAAGGGGGUGAUGCCAAUGGAAACGUUCCAAGCACUGCAAUUAAUGUUCCUAUUCGGGAUGUUUAUUCUGGCGCUUUUGACGUUCAUCCAAAAAAAAUAGAUCGCCCUCGGUCAAAGGUUGCGAUCUAUUUUUGGUAGUAACCUCAUAAGCCAACCGCCAACAUAUAGCACGGCUAUUGCCAGACCGUGGACGUUCGCAGCGUCUGCG
rnacentral:sRNA from 1 species